rnacentral:rRNA from 1 species
GUGGGGAAUUUUGGACAAUGGGCGCAAGCCUGAUCCAGCAAUGCCGCGUGCAGGAAGAAGGCCUUCGGGUUGUAAACUGCUUUUGUACGGAACGAAACGGUCCGGGUUAAUACCCUGGGCUAAUGACGGUACCGUAAGAAUAAGCACCGGCUAACUACGUGCCAGCAGCCGCGGUAAUACGUAGGGUGCAAGCGUUAAUCGGAAUUACUGGGCGUAAAGCGUGCGCAGGCGGUUUUGUAAGACAGGCGUGAAAUCCCCGGGCUCAACCUGGGAAUUGCGCUUGUGACUGCAAGGCUGGAGUGCGGCAGAGGGGGAUGGAAUUCCGCGUGUAGCAGUGAAAUGCGUAGAUAUGCGGAGGAACACCGAUGGCGAAGGCAAUCCACUGGGCCUGCACUGACGCUCAUGCACGAAAGCGUGGGGAGCAAACAGGAUUAGAAACCCGAGUAGUCC